rnacentral:rRNA from 1 species
AUGAUGAACACUGAUCCAGUUCAUUGGAGUAGGGCCUAUAUGAAGCUAGGGUCCAAUUGUGAUUCAGUUGAUAACAACAUGUGUGAAUCUUUCAACAACUACAUCCUGUCAGCUAGGUACCUUGCUAUUGUCUCCAUGCUUGAGUGGAUUAGGUGCAAAAUUAUGGCGAGGGUACAAGAAAAUAGAGGGAAGUCAGUUAACUGGGAAGGAACUAUAUGUCCCAUCUUUUUCAAAAAACUAAAGCAAAACAUAAGGAGAUCAGGUUUUUGUCAUGUAUUGUGGAAUGGGAAAGAUGGAUUUGAAGUGCAAUAG